UAUAUGACUCUCGGCAACGGAUAUCUCGGCUCUCGCAUCGAUGAAGAGCGCAGCGAAAUGCGAUACGUGGUGCGAAUUGCAGAAUCCCGUGAACCAUCAAGUCUUUGAACGCAAGUUGCGCCCGAGGCCAAUCGGCUAAGGGCACGUCUGCCUGGGCGUCAAGC
rnacentral:rRNA from 3 species